CUACGGGUUGCUGCAGUGGGGAAUAUUGCACAAUGGGCGCAAGCCUGAUGCAGCCAUGCCGCGUGUAUGAAGAAGGCCUUCGGGUUGUAAAGUACUUUCAGCGGGGAGGAAGGGAGUAAAGUUAAUACCUUUGCUCAUUGACGUUACCCGCAGAAGAAACACCGGCUAACUCCGUGCCAGCAGCCGCGGUAAUACGGAGGGUGCAAGCGUUAAUCGGAAUUACCGGGCGUAAAGCGCACGCAGGCGGUUUGUUAAGUCAGAUGUGAAAUCCCCGGGCUCAACCUGGGAACUGCAUCUGAUACUGGCAAGCUUGAGUCUCGUAGAGGGGGGUAGAAUUCCAGGUGUAGCGGUGAAAUGCGUAGAGAUCUGGAGGAAUACCGGUGGCGAAGGCGGCCCCCUGGACGAAGACUGACGCUCAGGUGCGAAAGCGUGGGGAGCAAACAGGAUUAGAUACCCUCGUAGUC
rnacentral:rRNA from 1 species